UCUAUUUUUCUUCUCUAUUUUUAUUUUUAUUUUUAUUAUUUUUGGCUCCUCCCUCCAAACUGCGAAGCGAAGAUUUUGACCGAUCGGAAGAAAUGGUCAAGGAAACGGAGUACUACGACGUCCUCGGAGUCAGCCCGUCCGCCACCGAGGCGGAGAUCAAGAAAGCUUAUUACGUGAAGGCAAGGCAGGUUCAUCCAGAUAAAAACCCAAAUGAUCCACUUGCAGCACAAAAUUUUCAGGUUUUGGGAGAAGCUUACCAAGUGUUAAGCGACCCAAGCCAACGCCAAGCGUAUGAUGCUAAUGGAAAAUCAGGGAUUUCAACCGACGCAAUUAUUGAUCCUGCAGCGAUCUUCGCCAUGCUUUUUGGUAGUGAGCUUUUCGAGGAAUAUAUUGGACAGCUAGCCAUGGCAUCAAUGGCUUCCCUAGAUAUUUUCACAGAAGGCGAACAGUUUGAUCCCAAAAAGUUGCAAGAGAAAAUGCGGGUUGUUCAAAAGGAAAGAGAAGAAAAGCUUGCAGAAACACUAAAAAAUCGACUCAACCAAUAUGUGCAAGGCAACAAAGAGGAAUUUGUUAGUCAUGCUGAAGCUGAAGUUGCAAGGCUUUCCAAUGCAGCCUAUGGUGUUGAUAUGUUGAAUACGAUUGGCUACAUCUAUGCCAGACAAUCAGCAAAGGAGCUAGGCAAGAAAGCAAUAUAUUUGGGCGUGCCAUUUGUUGCAGAGUGGUUUAGAAAUAAAGGGCAUUUCAUUAAAUCCCAAGUAACAGCAGCAACAGGUGCAAUUGCUUUGCUCCAGCUGCAGGAAGACAUGAAAAAGCAGCUAAGUGCAGAAGGAAAUUAUACAGAGGAAGAGCUUGAAGAAUACAUGCAAUCUCACAAGAAGUUGAUGAUUGAUUCCCUGUGGAAGCUUAAUGUGGCUGAUAUUGAGGCCACUCUUUCUCGUGUUUGUCAGAUGGUUCUUCAAGACAGCAAUGCCAAGAAAGAGGAACUCCGUGCGCGGGCAAAGGGGUUGAAAACUCUUGGCAGAAUCUUCCAGAGAACUAAGUCAACCGGUGGGAAUGAUGGUGAACCUGCACAAAAUAGUAGAGUCCAUAAACUGAAUGGAAGUGAAUCAAGCAAUGAUACCUCGUCUCCUAUAACAACACCAAAGUCCUCAAAUCUUGACGAGCCAUCUUACACUGCAUUUGAGCCACAGCAUCAACUCAUUUGACACCAUUGUGAGAGGUACAAAAUGACAAAAAUACAAAAAGAACAAUUUGAUUAAACUCAAGAUUGCAAGUACAACCAGUGCUUAUGCUCCUGAAAAGUAAAAACCACUGUAAAUGUUGGUGUCACAGAGCCCCUAUGUGGAAGCCCCCCAAAUUGCCGGUGCACAGUUGAACUAUCACUUCCCAAGGCCAACUGCACCACCUGGUGCCCAGAGACAUUCUUCCAUUGGCAGGGAUUGAGGGUGGAGAUCGGGUAUUCCCCUUGCUUUCCGUCUUGUAGUAUAAAACUUGUGACAUAUCUUUUGUAUCAAUAUUGUGGCUGGUUUUGCGGGAAGAAUCUGAGGUUAUCGUUAGCUGGAUGUGUAUGCUUGAAACGAGUUACAAUUGUGCUUGAAUGGCAACUCACCUCCAGCUGCGUAGGCCUCGCUUAUUCUUAUGGGGAAGACAGAUUUAUAUACGUAGGGAGGAAGAUAGAUUGUUGUAGAAAAUGGGAUGCCGUUGUCACCAGUUAGCCGUUAUAGUUGUUAUUUAUUCGUGUAAUUUUCUCGAGUGACGGAUUUAGUUUGAAAGGUUUAAAUUUUAGGCGCAUAUGUUUUUGUCGAUGUGAAGAUUCAUGUUGAUUUGCCCUAGAUAACAAACAAAUAUCAAGACUCUAGUGUACAUUUGUCCGUGGGAACAUAUUAUGUGAUGGAAUUUUUCUUUA